rnacentral:misc_RNA from 1 species
CACAGAGCAGGGCGGUGGGUAACACCCACCCGGGGCAACCCGCGGGACAGUGCCACAGAGAACAGACCGCCUCCCGAAUCCAGCGCCACCGGACGACGGAGGUAAGGGUGAAACGGUGGAGCAAGAGACCACCAGCAUGCCGGGCGACCGGCGUGGCUAGGCAAACCCCGCCCGGAGCAAGAUCAGACAGCACACGCAGGUUCCGACCGGAAGGGCUGCUCGCCCGAGUGUGCGGGUAGAUCGCUGGAGGCCGUCGGCAACGGCGGUCGUAGAUGGAUGGUCGCCCCUCCUCCCGCAAGGGCGGAGG